AAGUCUGACGGAGCACGCCGCGUGAGUGAUGAAGGUUUUCGGAUCGUAAAACUCUGUUGUUAGGGAAGAACAAGUAUCGUUCGAAUAGGGCGGUACCUUGACGGUACCUAACCAGAAAGCCACGGCUAACUACGUGCCAGCAGCCGCGGUAAUACGUAGGUGGCAAGCGUUGUCCGGAAUUAUUGGGCGUAAAGCGCGCGCAGGCGGUUUCUUAAGUCUGAUGUGAAAUCUUGCGGCUCAACCGCAAGCGGCCAUUGGAAACUGGGAGACUUGAGUGCAGAAGAGGAGAGUGGAAUUCCACGUGUAGCGGUGAAAUGCGUAGAGAUGUGGAGGAACACCAGUGGCGAAGGCGACUCUCUGGUCUGUAACUGACGCUGAGGCGCGAAAGCGUGGGGAGCGAACAGGAUUAGAUACCCUGGUAGUCCACGCCGUAAACGAUGAGUGCUAAGUGUUAGAGGGUUUCCGCCCUUUAGUGCUGCAGCUAACGCAUUAAGCACUCCGCCUGGGGAGUACGGCCGCAAGGCUGAAACUCAAAGGAAUUGACGGGGGCCCGCACAAGCGGUGGAGCAUGUGGUUUAAUUCGAAGCAACGCGAAGAACCUUACCAGGUCUUGACAUCCUCUUGACCUCCCUAAAGAUAGGGAUUUCCCUUCGGGGACAAGAGUGACAGGUGGUGCAUGGUUGUCGUCAGCUCGUGUCGUGAGAUGUUGGGUUAAGUCCCGCAACGAGCGCAACCCUUGACCUUAGUUGCCAGCAUUCAGUUGGGCACUCUAAUGUGACUGCCGGUGACAAACCAGAAGAAGGUGGAGAUGACGUCAAAUCAUCAUGCCCCUUAUGACCUGCGCUACACACGUGCUACAAUGGAUGGUACAAAGGGCUGCAAGACCGCGAGGUUUAUCCUAUCCCAUAAAACCAUUCUCAGUUCAGAUUGUACGCUGCAACUCGCCUACAUGAAGCCAGAAUCGCUAGUAAUCGCAGAUCAGCAUGCCGCGG
rnacentral:rRNA from 1 species